rnacentral:rRNA from 1 species
UGUAGCAAGGUUAACCGAAUAGGGGAGCCGAAGGGAAACCGAGUCUUAACUGGGCGUUAAGUUGCAGGGUAUAGACCCGAAACCCGGUGAUCUAGCCAUGGGCAGGUUGAAGGUUGGGUAACACUAACUGGAGGACCGAACCGACUAAUGUUGAAAAAUUAGCGGAUGACUUGUGGCUGGGGGUGAAAGGCCAAUCAAACCGGGAGAUAGCUGGUUCUCCCCGAAAGCUAUUUAGGUAGCGCCUCGUGAAUUCAUCUCCGGGGGUAGAGCACUGUUUCGGCAAGGGGGUCAUCCCGACUUACCAACCCGAUGCAAACUGCGAAUACCGGAGAAUGUUAUCACGGGAGACACACGGCGGGUGCUAACGUCCGUCGUGAAGAGGGAAACAACCCAGACCGCCAGCUAAGGUCCCAAAGUCAUGGUUAAGUGGGAAACGAUGUGGGAAGGCCCAGACAGCCAGGAUGUUGGCUUAGAAGCAGCCAUCAUUUAAAGAAAGCGUAAUAGCUCACUGGUCGAGUCGGCCUGCGCGGAAGAUGUAACGGGGCUAAACCAUGCACCGAAGCUGCGGCAGCGACACUAUGUGUUGUUGGGUAGGGGAGCGUUCUGUAAGCCUGUGAAGGUGGCCUGUGAGGGUUGCUGGAGGUAUCAGAAGUGCGAAUGCUGACAUAAGUAACGAUAAAGCGGGUGAAAAGCCCGCUCGCCGGAAGACCAAGGGUUCCUGUCCAACGUUAAUCGGGGCAGGGUGAGUCGACCCCUAAGGCGAGGCCGAAAGGCGUAGUCGAUGGGAAACAGGUUAAUAUUCCU